rnacentral:rRNA from 1 species
UACAGAGGGUGCGAGCGUUAAUCGGAAUUACUGGGCGUAAAGCGUGCGUAGACGGUUAUUUAAGUCGGGUGUGAAAGCCCCGGGCUCAACCUGGGAACCGCGCUUGAGACUGGCACGCUAGAGUUCGGGAGAGGAUGGUGGAAUUCCCAGUGUAGAGGUGAAAUUCGUAGAUAUUGGGAAGAACACCGAUGGCGAAGGCAGCCAUCUGGACCGACACUGACGCUGAGGCGCGAAAGCGUGGGGAGCAAACAGG